rnacentral:lncRNA from 1 species
GAAAACCAGGCCUGGGUGAGUUCAAGGCACGGGCAGGCAUUCAAGCAAGUUUAGAAAUCUCAGUAAUUUAUAAUAAAGCAGAAAUUAACUUUUCAUGCCUUUGUGAUGAGAUGGAUCCCAAUCUUAAGAGGAAAUUAGGCUGGGUUUAUCAAACACACGAGGCUAGGGUGAGUUGGAACAUUAUGUUCUUGGCAAUAGUAUGGAAGAGAGUAAUGGCUGUUCACUGGUCAUUUUUCAUGUGCUAGGAACUUUAUUGUUUUGGUGCUUGAUGAACUUUGGGGAUUGAUGAACUCGGAGAGAAUUCAGUUAAUAAAAAAAAUUAUUAAAAUUACAAGUGAAUAAAUCUUCACAAAUUGAACCCAGGCCUUUACACAUGCUAAGGAACUUUAGAUAAUAAUGUCUUUUAAUACCCCCUGUGAGGAUGGCCUUAGGCCUGAGCCUAAGCAACUCCAUUUUAAAACUCCAGAGACCUGCAGUCUCACGAGCCCUCCAGUAUGGCCCUCAGGCACAAAAAGUCACUUCUCCCCACUCUGAUAAACUCAGGGUGACCUCACCUGGUAAGAGGGAAAGUCGCUGGAUUAGAAGGAAAGGCGAAAAGAUGGGAGUGGGGACCACCAGACUAGAUGUUUAACCCCGGGGGUAAAUGAUGUCACUGAGAAAUCCGGUGGCAGCUGAUAAGGAUUGAAAGAGGGGUCAAAAGCCCCAAAAUUUGGAAUAAAUAAUAGAACAACUGAAUAGACAUUCAGCCAGCCGACAAUGAUGCCCUUACACUGAGAGCCUGGUGAGGACCUGGAUUGACAUCCCAACACUUUUCAUGGUUUGCUGAUCCUUUGCAUCUUCCUCACCACUCUCAAACUCUACAGCCACACCGUGACACCUUCUUCUGGACUGGCCAUCAGCUCCACCCCAGGAGAAGCCUGCCUUGGUUCCUGACCUGAUCAUUGCGGUCUGAGUGAGUGUGCAUCUGCUGGACUUAAAGCCUAAGGCUUGAGACUUUUGAUCUGACAAACAGCACGCAGAGGGAAUGUCUGUCAUUAGCUUGUCAUGAUUAAGUGUAUUUUGCAGUGCUUAGAAUUAAUCUAGAAUUAUUUGCUGUGAAUUAAUUAAUCUAGAAUUGUUUGCUGUGAAUUGAUUAUGUCUAUUGCAGUGCCUAGCAUUAAGGAUUGUGGUUUACUUGAUUAAGAACCUAUAGAGUGCAAUUGUAUCGAGGGAUUUGAGUGAAUAAAACAUUG